AUGACUCCCGACCAGGCUGCUGCUAUCGCCUCCCUACCCUACCUCGCCGCCGCCGCCGGCACCUCCACCUCCGCCUCGCUCCGGCGCCCCCGCCCCUGCUGCUCCUUCCCUCUCCGCCGGCCUCCGCCCAUAUACCUCACCUGCGCCGCCUUCCCCUACACCCCUCCUCCGUGCGCCGGCGAUGGACAACACAUGCUCCGUGGCCCUCCGCAGCCACGAUGCUCCAACGUGGAAGCAGUCGGCGACGUGGCCGCAGCAGCAGUGCCCGACGAUUACACCGAGGACACGCCGUCGAGCAGUGGGUAUGCGAACGGCCAUAUGGCCACCGCUUCAUCGCACGAACAAGAUCAUCCUUCUGAAGGAAGCGCGGGCAAGGCGGACGACAGGGCUACUACUGCCAACGUCAACCUAAAAAUGGUCAAGAUAUCUGACAAGCUGAUUGGUGUCUUCAUGGUCGACAAGCCUACGCCGACGGAUUGGAGGAAAUUGCUCGCGUUCAGCAGGGAGUGGGACAACAUAAGGCCGCACUUCUUCAAGCGCUGCCAAGAGAGAGCGGACGCGGAAACAAAUCCUGAGAUGAAGCACGGCCUUCUCAGGCUGGCUAGAAAACUGAAAGAGGUAGACGAGGACGUACAAAGGCAUAAUGAACUAUUUGAGUUAGUGAAAUCCACACCGUCUGAUAAAAUUGGUGAGGUUGUUGCUAAGCGCCGUAAAGAUUUCACGGUGGAGUUCUUCAACCACCUGUAUUAUGUCGCAGAGUCGUAUAAGGAUGACCCUGCUAAGCAAAAAGAUCAUUGUUUCCCUGGUUCAUCAUUUUUCUCGUUCAUCGGUUUGCUUGCAGAGUUGACGACACUUGGAAAUGAUUGUGUGGAUGCUCUGCAAGCUCAUGAUGACAUGUCUGGCAGUCUUCAAGCGCUGAAUGUUGCGGAACUAAAGCUAAAGGACAUACUCAAUUCACCUUCAGUGGGCGCUGCGUGCCGAAAGAUCGAUGACUUGGCCGAGAAGAAGGAGCUAGACUCCGCGUUGGUGCUGAUGCUUUCAAAAGCUUGGUCGGCUGCAAAGGGCACCGACAUCACAAAAUCGGACGCAAAAGACAUAAUGUUCCAUCUAUACAUGACUGCUGUGGCCAAUCUCCAGAGGCAAAUGCCAAAGGACAUCAGAAUACUGAAGCAUCUUAUAAUGAUUGAGGAUCCAGCAGAACGCCUGAGUGCGUUGAAUGACGCUUUUACUCCUGGUCCUGAACUUCAAGGCGAGAAUGUCGAUACCUUAUUCACGAGUCCGGAGGUGUUGCACACUUGGGCAAGCGCUAUAAUCGAUGCAUAUUAUAGCAGCAGGGAGGGCACUCUCCUUGGGCAGGCAAGGGACCUGAUGAACCCUAAAAUUAUAAAGAGGGUUGAAGAGCUCUUGAAGACGAUCAAGGAUCAAUACCUCUGA
rnacentral:rRNA from 1 species